rnacentral:rRNA from 1 species
GACGAACGCUGGCGGCGUGCUUAACACAUGCAAGUCGAACGGAAAGGCCCUGCUUUUGUGGGGUGCUCGAGUGGCGAACGGGUGAGUAACACGUGAGUAACCUGCCCUUGACUUUGGGAUAACUUCAGGAAACUGGGGCUAAUACCGGAUAGGAGCUCCUGCUGCAUGGUGGGGGUUGGAAAGUUUCGGCGGUUGGGGAUGGACUCGCGGCUUAUCAGCUUGUUGGUGGGGUAGUGGCUUACCAAGGCUUUGACGGGUAGACGGCCUGAGAGGGUGACCGGCCACAUUGGGACUGAGAUACGGCCCAGACUCCUACGGGAGGCAGCAGUGGGGAAUAUUGCACAAUGGGCGGAAGCCUGACGCAGCAACGCCGCGUGCGGGAUGACGGCCUUCGGGUUGUAAACCGCUUUCGCCUGUGACGAAGCGUGAGUGACGGUAAUGGGUAAAGAAGCACCGGCUAACUACGUG